GAAAGAAUAAAAAUCAAUAGAUUUUAGGUAAGCCCUGCCCGGUAGUAUAAGUUAAACGGCCGCAGUAUUUUAACUGUGCUAAGGUAGCAAAAUCAAUAGUCCUUUAAUUGGGGUCUGGAAUGAAUGGGUUAAUGUGCAAUAACUAUAUGUUAAUUUUCUUUACUGAAUUUAUUAAUAUGGUGAAAAUACCAUAAUUAGAAAAAAAGACGAGAAGACCCUGGGAAUUCUCAUCUUCGGAUGUUUGUUGGGGCAACACGGAAAGAAAACCUCCUAUCAAAAAUAAAUAAUAAUCAAAUAGAAAGUUAUAAUAAAUUUUGAAAUAAUUACCCCAGGGAUAACAGCAUAAUAUCUUUAUAUGUUUAUGACCUCGAUGUUGGACUAAGAAGCCUAUUAGUUAGUAACUAAUAGUAGUAGCUCUGUUCGAGCCGUUAAUUCUU
rnacentral:rRNA from 1 species